UAAUACGUAGGUGGCAAGCGUUGUCCGGAUUUAUUGGGUUUAAAGGGUGCGUAGGCGGCCUUAUAAGUCAGUGCUGAAAUACUCUAGCUUAACUAGAGGGGUGGCAUUGAUACUGCAAGGCUUGAGUACAGUCGAGGUAGGCGGAAUUGACGGUGUAGCGGUGAAAUGCUUAGAUAUCGUCAAGAACACCGAUAGUGUAGACAGCUUACUAGGCUGUAACUGACGCUGAGGCACGAAAGUGUGGGGAUCAAACAGGAUUAGAUACCCUGGUAGUCCACACUGUAAACGUUGAUUACUCGAUGUUGGCGAUACACAGUCAGCGUCUUAGCGCAAGCGAUAAGUAAUCCACCUGGGGAGUACGCCGGCAACGGUG
rnacentral:rRNA from 1 species